AGAAGAGUUAGCCAAGCUCUCGUUGGAUUAAAGAUACAAAUGGAAAAAUUGAAGAAGCAGAGAGUGUUCUCAAUCAUGUUGGCAUGUGGGAGAAAAUUUAUUUAAACAUUUUCCUAUCUUUGAGAGAAGUUGUCCUUUAUGACUGUGGGUCAAAUAUUACUCUUUUCCCAUCAUCACAAUUAUCAUUGUCUUUUGCAGAUUUCUGAAAUAGAAGAGAUCAAUGGACAUGGGCACUCUUUGCAGCACAUCCAUAUAUUUGAUUGUAAUCAAAUGAGUACUGAAGCAAAACUUUGGCAGCUUCAAAAGUGGCUGGACUGUUGCUAUUUCGUGGCAUGCAGAUUGGCAAGAGGAUGAAAGAAAUAGAUUGAUGAAGCCGAGAAAGCUAAAGCCUAGAUGAAGAAACAAUACUAUUCUCAAGUAUAAGACUUUGUGCUACCAUAUUCUUCAUAAUUGGUUCCUUAGAAUUUGAUUAUAUUUUGGAAAUAGUAAUGAAUACACUUUAGAAUUUGAUUAUUUCCUCAAAUUGUAUAACCAACAUCUAUAUAAUGAAUAUCAAGUGCGAGAAAUGUGUACUUAAGAUCAUACUUGAAAUUAGUAUUUGGCUUAGUUUUCUUCA